GGAAGGAAAAAAAUCUGCCUUAAUUAUGGGAAAUCACCAAGCCAGCUGACUCCACCGGGAUCUGUGACUCAUACCAAGGAACUAAUUCAACCAGUCCUGGAGCUCCCACCCAAGAACUGACUUCAUGUAAGAAGACAGCUUUGACCCCUGUGAUUUCAUCCCUGCCCCAACCUAUCAGCAUUUCCCAUUCCCUAGCCCCCUGCCUACCAAACUAUCCUGGAAAAACC
rnacentral:lncRNA from 1 species